rnacentral:rRNA from 1 species
CCUACGGGCGGCAGCAGUGAGGAAUAUUGGUCAAUGGGCUUACGCCUGAACCAGCCAAGUCGCGUGAGGGAAGACUGCCCUAUGGGUUGUAAACCUCUUUUGUCAGGGAGCAAUUGGCGCUACGUGUAGCGUUAUCGAGAGUACCUGAAGAAAAAGCAUCGGCUAACUGCGUGCCAGCAGGCGCGGUAAUACGGAGGAACCGAGCGUUAUACGGACUUAUUGGGUGUAAAGGGAGCGUAGAUGGGUUGUUAAGUCAGUUGUGAAAGUUUACGGCUCAACCGUAAAAUUGCAAUGGAUACUGGCAGGCUAGAGUACAGUUGAGGUAGGCGGAAUUCGUAGUGUAGCGAUGAAAUGCUUAGAUAUCACGAAGAACUCCGAUUGCGAAGGCAGCUUACUAAACUGCAACUGACAUUGAUGCUCGAAAGUGUGGGUAUCAAACAGGAUUAGAUACCCGUGUAGUC